UGAGGAGGCCUGGAAUGGUUCUUCGCUGAAAAGGCGUUAGAGGCAUGCUCUCUAAUGUUGCCUAAGGAUGGGGCCGCGGCCGAUCAGGUUGUUGGUGAGGUAACGGCCCACCAAGCCUAUAACCGGUACGGGCCGUGAGAGCGGGAGCCCGGAGAUGGGCACUGAGAUAAGGGCCCAGGCCCUACGGGGCGCAGCAGUUGCGAAAACUCGCCAAUGCACGAAAGUGUGAGCGGGCUACCCCGAGUGCCGUCCGCUGAGGAUGGCUUUUCUCCGCUGUAAGGAGGCGGAGGAAUAAGGAGAGGGCAAGACUGGUGUCAGCCGCCGCGGUAAUACCAGCUCUCCGAGUGGUAGGGGUGAUUAUUGGGCUUAAAGCGUCCGUAGCCGGCCUAGCAAGUCUUUCGUUAAAUCCAGCAACCUAAUUGUUGGGCUGCGGAGGAUACUGUUAGGCUAGGGGGCGGGAGAGGCCGACGGUAUUCUCGGGGUAGGGGUGAAAUCUUAUAAUCCCGGGAGGACCACCAGUGGCGAAGGCUGUCGGCUAGCACGCGCCUGACGGUGAGGGACGAAAGCUGGGGGAGCGAACCGGAUUAGAUACCCGGGUAGUCCCUGCUGUAAACGAUGCGGGCUAGGUGUUGGGGCGGCUACGAGCCGCUUCAGUGCCGCAGCAAAGGCGUUAAGCCCGCCGCCUGGGGAGUACGGCCGCAAGGCUGAAACUUAAAGGAAUUGGCGGGGGAGCACCACAAGGCGUGAAGCUUGCGGUUCAAUUGGAGUCAACGCCGGGAACCUUACCGGGGGCGACAGCAGGAUGAAGGCCAGAUUGAUGGUCUUGCUGGACGAGCUGAGAGGAGGCGCAUGGCCGUCGUCAGUUCGUGCCGUGAGGUGUCCUCUUAAGUGAGGUAACGAUCGAGACCCGCGCCCCUUGUUGCUAGCAGAUUCCAUCGGAAUCUGUGCACACUAGGGGGACCGCCGUCGACAAGACGGAGGAAGGAGCGGGCCACGGCAGGUCAGUAUGCCCCGAAUCCCCCGGGCCACACGCGAGCUGCAAUGGCAGGGACAAUGGGUAUCGACUCCGAAAGGAGGAGGUAAUCUCUAAACCCUGCCUCAGUUGGGAUCGAGGGCUGAAACCCGUCCUCGUGAAUAUGGAAUGCCUAGUAAUCGCGCGUCAUCAUCGCGCGGUGAAUACGUCCCCGCUCCUUGCACACACCGCCCGUCGUUCCAUCCGAGUGGGGUUUGGGUGAGGCGUAGUCCUUGGUGGCUGCGU
rnacentral:rRNA from 1 species